AGUAUUUUCAAAGCGCAAUUUGGAUUAUACAUUCGGGUGCACAAUGUUCAUUGUGCACCAUGUUGAAUAUUUAUUGAAAUUGUGCACCAUGUUAAACAUUUAUUGAAAAUCUAACCAAUUGAGCUAUCCAUCACUCUCACAAUAUGUUCUUUUAUUUGAACUAUAUGUUCAUUAAAAAACAAGGUGCACAGAGCAUUGUGCACCCAUAAACCAUAUUUUGUUUCGAUUAUCGGCCGCAAGAGUUUGAAUCUCCAAGUUGAACCAAAUUUGGGCGAAAUUCAAUCUUUGAAGCCGAAUUUGAAAAUGAAGAAUCAACCUCCUCAAUCCCUAAUCAUUCCAGGCGAUUUGAUUUUCGAGCAUAUUCUACCCAGAUUUCCGUAUAUCAAGUUCCUUCAACAGCGGAGUGCAGAAGAUGAUGUUGAAAAUGCAAGUUGUAGGAGCCAUUCUGCAGGAUUGCACUAAGACAUGUUUUAAUGUGUGUAGCACCUCGAUCAAACGGUUCUGUCACCAGAGUAUGUUUUUGCAAAAGGUCUUGCGCGCACUAGGUGCACAAUAAAUUUAUUGUACACCAAGAUAACUUUUACCCAUUUUUUGUAACUUUAACCUAGUUUUGAUUAACUUUUAUAUUAGUAAAAAAACGUUGAUAGAUAAA